UUAACGUCCCGCCGCGCAAACGGUCGCCGCAUUCGCUCGUCGUCGCACGCAUCCGCAAUCCCGCUCACUGCCCUGUUCUGCCAAUCGAAAUAUUUGUAAUCGACUCGUCGUUAUUGUUGUUUUCAAGCAUUGGUCAUGUGGCGAUAAGUUACUUUUUUUCUCAUCUCGUAACGUUACCAGAGGUUAUCUACGCUACGCGCUUAAGUCUGAACAUAAACGGAUGCAUUCUAAAUAAUGCAAAUAAAGUGUGAAUUUUAAUCAUUAGUGUUUGUUUCCUUUAACGUUUCUUUGAAGAACAAAAUUGUAACACAACGCGGCAAACAAGCAAGCUGGUUGUGCAGAGUGCGGUUAAAGAAAUGAGCAAAUGUGAGAGCCUAGCCCACACUAUACUACAACCAUCUUACCACGUCUUGUUGUUCCACUCUUACAUACAGAAAUUUAAACUUGGGUUGCAACUGCGAAAGCAAGACAAACUGUUGAGUAAAGUAAACCUUGUAUGUUGGACGCGGAGAGGAUGUUGGCGGCGUGACGGUGGAAGAAGGAUGCGUUGACUGCCCUUGAACUGGAAACACGUUUCGCAAAACUCGCCUGGCAGAAGUUUUGCAACUCGAUUGCCAAACGGCACAAGAAACUAACUUGGUCAACUAACCGAGUGAUCUAACUAGGAAUUCAUCCAAAGCCAACUGUUUACAAUGUUGAUCAAGAAAUUAACUGCAUUAAUCAAUAAAACGUGAUUUAUUAAUCGUCAAAAUCAAGUCAUUAAAAAUUGGCGGCAUUUUAA